AGUGAACGCUGGCGGUAGGCCUAACACAUGCAAGUCGAACGGCAGCACAGGAGAGCUUGCUCUCUGGGUGGCGAGUGGCGGACGGGUGAGGAAUACAUCGGAAUCUACUCUGUCGUGGGGGAUAACGUAGGGAAACCUACGCUAAUACCGCAUACGACCUACGGGUGAAAGCAGGGGACCUUCGGGCCUUGCGCGAUUGAAUGAGCCGAUGUCGGAUUAGCUAGUUGGCGGGGUAAAGGCCACCAAGGCGACGAUCCGUAGCUGGUCUGAGAGGAUGAUCAGCCACACUGGAACUGAGACACGGUCCAGACUCCUACGGGAGGCAGCAGUGGGGAAUAUUGGACAAUGGGCGCAAGCCUGAUCCAGCCAUACCGCGUGGGUGAAGAAGGCCUACGGGUUGUAAAGCCCUUUUGUUGGGAAAGAAAUCCAGCUGGCUAAUACCCGGUUGGGAUGACGGUACCCAAAGAAUAAGCACCGGCUAACUUCGUGCCAGCCGCCGCAGUAA
rnacentral:rRNA from 1 species